rnacentral:rRNA from 1 species
AUUGAACGCUGGCGGCAGGCCUAACACAUGCAAGUCGAACGAGUGGCGGACGGGUGAGUAAUGUCUGGGAAACUGCCCGAUAGAGGGGGAUAACUACUGGAAACGGUGGCUAAUACCGCAUACCAUCGGAUGUGCCCAGAUGGGAUUAGCUAGUAGGUGGGGUAACGGCUCACCUAGGCGACGAUCCCUAGCUGGUCUGAGAGGAUGACCAGCACCACUGGGACGGAGACACGGUCCAGACUCCUACGGGAGGCAGCAGUGGGGAAUAUUGCACAAUGGGCGCAAGCCGGAUGCAGCCAUGCCGCGUGUAUGAAGAAGGCCUUAGGGUUGUAAAGUACUUUCAGCGAGGAGGCGUUACUCGCAGAAGAAGCACCGGCUAACUCCGUGCCAGCAGCCGCGGUAAUAC